UACGAAGGGUGCAAACGUUGCUCGGAAUCAUUGGGCGUAAAGCGCACGUAGGCGGCUUCGCAAGUCGGAUGUGAAAUCCCUUGGCUCAACCAAGGACGUGCAUCCGAAACUGCGAGGCUUGAGUACAGAAGAGGAUCGCGGAAUUCCCGGUGUAGAGGUGAAAUUCGUAGAUAUCGGGAGGAACACCAGUGGCGAAGGCGACUACCUGGCCUGUUCUUGACGCUGAGGCGCGAAAGCUAGGGGAGCAAACGGG
rnacentral:rRNA from 1 species